GAUGAACGCUGGCGGCGUGCCCAACACAUGCAAGUCGAGCGAACCCUUCGGGGUGAGCGGCGGACGGGUGAGUAACGCGUGGGUAACCUGCCCUAUACACACGGAUAACGUACCGAAAGGUACGCUAAUACGGGAUAAAGUUGUUGGAUGGCAUCUUCUAACAAUCAAAGCUCUGGCGGUAUAGGAUGGACCCGCGUCUGAUUAGCUAGUUGGUGAGGUAAUGGCUCACCAAGGCGACGAUCAGUAGCCGACCUGAGAGGGUGAUCGGCCACACUGGAACUGGGACACGGUCCAGACUCCUACGGGAGGCGGCAGUGGGGAAUAUUGCACGAUGGGCGAAAGCCUGAUGCAGCAACGCCGCGUGGGCGAUGAAGGUCUUCGGAUCGUAAAGCUCUGUCCUCAAGGAAGAUAAUGACGGUACUUGAGGAGGAAGCCCCGGCUAACUACGUGCCAGCCGCCGCCGUAA
rnacentral:rRNA from 1 species